AGUGAACGCUGGCGGUAGGCCUAACACAUGCAAGUCGAACGGCAGCACAGUAAGAGCUUGCCCUUACGGGUGGCGAGUGGCGGACGGGUGAGGAAUACAUCGGAAUCUACUUUUUCGUGGGGGAUAACGUAGGGAAACUUACGCUAAUACCGCAUUCGACCUACGGGUGAAAGCAGGGGAUCUUCGGACCUUGCGCGAUUGAAUGAGCCGAUGUCGGAUUAGCUAGUUGGCGGGGUAAAGGCCCACCAAGGCGACGAUCCGUAGCUGGUCUGAGAGGAUGAUCAGCCACACUGGAACUGAGACACGGUCCAGACUCCUACGGGAGGCAGCAGUGGGGAAUAUUGGACAAUGGGCGCAAGCCUGAUCCAGCCAUACCGCGUGGGUGAAGAAGGCCUUCGGGUUGUAAAGCCCUUUUGUUGGGAAAGAAAAGCAGCAGGUUAAUACCCCGCUGUUCUGACGGUACCCAAAGAAUAAGCACCGGCUAACUUCGUG
rnacentral:rRNA from 1 species